rnacentral:rRNA from 1 species
CCCGACAAGUGACAGCUACUGAAUCACAAAACGACUCAUAAUCGGGUUUGUGAUGUCGUAAGGGAAAAUAAUGAUACUACCUUACUAUGAGUGUCGUCCAAAGCUGGUGCCAGAAGACUCGGUAAGGCCAGAGACGCUAACGUUAAUCAUCUUAAUCAGGCGUAAAGGGUAAGUAGGCGGCCGAAUCAUAUCUCAUUUUUAUAGUAUAUGUUUAGCUAGAAUCAAGAAGGGGUUGAGCCGAAUAAUACUUAGUGUAGGGUUUAUAUCUUUAGAAACUAGGUGGAAUACUAACGGCGAAAGCUUUUCAAUCAAGUAAUGAUUGACGCUGAGGAACGAAGGGGAGGGUAGGGAACAGGAUUAGAUACCCCAGUACUCCUCUCAGUCAACGAUGAAUGGUAAUCAUUAGUGUUAAGACACUAUAUGGUAAAGCUAACGCGAGUAACCAUUCCGCCUUGUAACUACGACUGCAAUGUUAAAAACAAAAAAAUUAGUCGUCUCGAAGCAUCGGAAGGUUU